UAUUUUGAUAAGAAAAAACUUCAGAUAGUUUCGUACUUUCUUAUUUUAGUAUCCUGUGGUUUAAAAUGUAUCAAGUUAGUAUUCUGUUGUUUUAUUUUUAUCCUUUUAUUAGCUUUUUUGUUAAUAUUUUAUUAAAUUAUAUAUAAAAAACUUCAGAUACUUUACCUAAGUUUAUCGAAUAUUCACUUUACUAUCCUUUAGUUUUAACUUUGUUACUGAUUUAACAAAAAAAUUAGUGAAAUUAAUAUAAAAAGAUAAAAAUGAAACCACGGGACACUAAAUUGAUACAACUUUAAACCACAGGGUACUAAAAUGAGAAAGUGUGAAACCACGGGAAUAGUAUUUAAAGUUUUUUCUUUUAAUAAACUAGAGUUUAGAUUAUUUUUAUUUUUUUUGCCAUUUGUUUGUAUGGCUACGGAAUUAAAGUUUUUUCAGUUCUACUCUUCGUUUGACAGAAAGUGAAUAACAUAAAAACUAAAAAUAUGAUAAAUAGAUUAAUAUUUUAUUAUUUUUUUCAUAUAUUUUUAUAAUUUAUUUCAGUCUGGAGUCGAAUAAAAUCAAUCAUGCUAUUUUAGAAAGUUUGAGUUUCGAAUGAAUU
rnacentral:lncRNA from 1 species